rnacentral:siRNA from 1 species
GGCAAGUUGACCUUGGCUCUG